rnacentral:rRNA from 1 species
UACGGAGGGGGCUAGCGUUAUUCGGAAUUACUGGGCGUAAAGCGCACGUAGGCGGAUUGGAAAGUCAGAGGUGAAAUCCCAGAGCUCAACUUUGGAACUGCCUUUGAAACUCCCAGGCUUGAGGUCGAGAGAGGUGAGUGGAAUUCCGAGUGUAGAGGUGAAAUUCGUAGAGAUGCGGAGGAACACCAGUGGCGAAGGCGGCUUACUGGUCCAUUACUGACGCUGAGGUGCGAAAGCGUGGGGAGCAAACAGG